GUUCACCGUUGCAAACAUGCUCAGCAAGGCAACUCUCUCAGUCUCUCUCUUUCUCUUUCUAUUUCCCCUGUUGUAAAUGAAUAGUUAGAAAUUGAUAAAGACAAAAUUCCAUUGGUUGUCUGUUUUUUAAUUGCUGAAAUUUUUAUUAUCGACGUAAUGUAACCACAAAGAUCUAUUAUUUCAUUCUUGUUGGUUGGUGGGUGGGGUUUUUGCAUAGAAUCUAUUAAAAGAAAACCUCAUAAAGAUGACUGUGAUCUGUUAUGCGUUUCCUACAAUUAUACUGAACUCGUUCUAUUGAUUACAUCAAUAAAAGAGUGGGAAAGGGAACAAUGCAAGUUUGACAAUUCUCAGAGGGAGAAGGAAAUCACUGAAAACAUCUGUGACUUGGUUAUGCAAGGGAGAAAAUGGCGCAAAUAUUUUACAAAUCAGUGUCUUUGCUGCAAAUAAAUGGUAAAACUCGGGUAAUAUUUUGGCGAAUAGAAAUUAUUAAACCCUCCCAAGAGAAAAUUACGUUUUGCCGCUGUUGCAGAGGUGAAUAAAGUGUCAUUUCAAUGAAGACGUUUUAUGGCAAAUCUGUUGCACGCCACUUCCAUAAGGAUAGAAAUUGUUUUUUUCUUUUGGUCAGCCGGCAAACAAAGCUAUUUCUACUUGGAUUAUCAUUGAAUUUGUCAUAAUUAUCUAAAGGGUGUGUGGUGGUGCACUUGAACGUUUGGCCACCACCAGACAAAAUGGAGAUAUCUAUUGAAGAGAGAGUGGGGGAGGGGGAAUUUUUCAAUUUAACGGGGGUUUCAACUACAAAAAAGGUAAUAAAAAAUGUUACUGUGUGUAAGUCGCCAUAAUAAUUUGUCUGUUUACAAUUUCUUUUGUAGGUACCUAUUAAUUCAUAACACUUUGAGUGUGGUUAUUUUUUGUUAUUGUCGCUGUUGUUGUAAAAUAAAAUGAACAAGCGAAGGAAAAAAUAAACCAAAUAAUAAAUGAAUGAAUGAUGACCUUGAAGUUUUUAAAAACCACGACCAACCAACAGCCAAUUACUCAAAUAAUAGAGGAAUAAACAAACAAUCACACACAAGUUCCGUGCCCAAUUCAAUAUUUUUGCAAAAUGAAAAAAAAAAACAUUGUUUAAUAAUUUGCAAAGCUUUCGAAAAGAAAAUGAAAAUCGUUAAAAUUGAAAUAUUGGAAUUGAAAUAGAUUUGUUUAUUCUUAAAUUGAGAAAAAUUGGCAUGCAAUUUUUGAGUUGAAUGAGACGUAGAGAAGAAAUUCUGGAAAGAAGUGGAAUAUUCAGUCAUUUGUAAUCCAAAGCAUUUUGUAACCUAAAGUUAUCACAAAAUUCCAUUUCUAUGUGAAGAAAACAAUUAUUUCAACAACAUGAUGCCUCCUCCUUGUAUUUAUUUGCAAAAGUGAUAUCCAUGAAUGGAUAAAUGGAUGGAUGAUGUCAUUCCAUGUUUCAUUACGACUCUAAUUCUCAACUGAAAGUCAAAAGCCUUACAGCGCUUCUUAUCAUGGAAUUUGUUCAGUUCAAAGCGUUUUGCAUUUCAAUCUGGAGCCAAAGUCAAUAUAAUCAUGUGAAAUAUUUUAAAAAUAAUCUUUAACAAUGACGUUUGCUGAGAUUCCAUUAACAAAUUUAUUUAUUAUUUUUUUUGUCGAUUUUGAUAAAAAAAGAACGUCUGGUAUUUUUUUCUAUAUACCAUUGACCUCAAAUCAUUUUGACAAAAGCAAACAAAAACAACAAAUAGUAGAUUUUUUUUUGGUUUUGAAAUAUUUUGUUAUGGCAAUGACCACCAACAAGAAGUUUCUUCCCUGUCUGUGGGGAUAUACCAUCAUGCACAUUGCUUGCUAAUCACAUGCAAAAAAAGACGGUACCCCUCCCUCCCCCUCCUCAUUGUAUACGUAGAAAAAAAACUGUUCUGCUUUCUGUUUUGUUUUCUACGUAAAUGUC